rnacentral:rRNA from 1 species
UACGUAGGGUGCGAGCGUUGUCCGGAAUUAUUGGGCGUAAAGGGCUCGUAGGCGGUUUGUCGCGUCGGGAGUGAAAUCCACUGGCUUAACUGGUGGCUUGCUUUCGAUACGGGCAGACUGGAGGUAUGCAGGGGAGAACGGAAUUCCUGGUGUAGCGGUGAAAUGCGCAGAUAUCAGGAGGAACACCGGUGGCGAAGGCGGUUCUCUGGGCCGAUACUGACACUGAGGAGCGAAAGCGUGGGGAGCGAACAGG